rnacentral:rRNA from 1 species
GACGUAGGGGGCCAGCGUUGCUCGGAAUUACUGGGCGUAAAGGGUUCGUAGGCGGUGCGGCAAGUCGGGAGUGAAAUCUCUGGGCUUAACUCAGGGGCUGCUUCCGAAACUGCCGUGCUUGAGUGCGGGAGAGGCGAGUGGAAUUGACGGUGUAGCGGUGAAAUGCUUAGAUAUCGUAAGGAAGACCAGUGGCGAAGGCGAAUCUCUGGACAGUUACUGACACUGAGGCACGAAGGCCAGGGGAGCAAACGGG